GACGAACGCUGGCGGCGUGCUUAACACAUGCAAGUCGAACGGAAAGGCCCUGCUUUUGUGGGGUGCUCGAGUGGCGAACGGGUGAGUAACACGUGAGUAACCUGCCCUUGACUUUGGGAUAACUUCAGGAAACUGGGGCUAAUACCGGAUAGGAGCUCCUGCUGCAUGGUGGGGGUUGGAAAGUUUCGGCGGUUGGGGAUGGACUCGCGGCUUAUCAGCUUGUUGGUGGGGUAGUGGCUUACCAAGGCUUUGACGGGUAGCCGGCCUGAGAGGGUGACCGGCCACAUUGGGACUGAGAUACGGCCCAGACUCCUACGGGAGGCAGCAGAGGGGAAUAUUGCACAAUGGGCGGAAGCCUGAUGCAGCAACGCCGCGUGCGGGAUGACGGCCUUCGGGUUGUAAACCGCUUUCGCCUGUGACGAAGCGUGAGUGACGGUAAUGGGUAAAGAAGCACCGGCUAACUACGU
rnacentral:rRNA from 1 species